rnacentral:rRNA from 1 species
AGUGAACGCUGGCGGUAGGCCUAACACAUGCAAGUCGAACGGCAGCACAGUAAGAGCUUGCUCUUACGGGUGGCGAGUGGCGGACGGGUGAGGAAUACAUCGGAAUCUACUUUUUCGUGGGGGAUAACGUAGGGAAACUUACGCUAAUACCGCAUACGACCUACGGGUGAAAGCAGGGGAUCUUCGGACCUUGCGCGAUUGAAUGAGCCGAUGUCGGAUUAGCUAGUUGGCGGGGUAAAGGCCCACCAAGGCGACGAUCCGUAGCUGGUCUGAGAGGAUGAUCGGCCACACUGGAACUGAGACACGGUCCAGACUCCUACGGGAGGCAGCAGUGGGGAAUAUUGGACAAUGGUCGCAAGCCUUAUCCAGCCAUACCGCGUGUGUGAAGAAGGCCUUCGGGUUGUAAAGCCCUUUUGUUGGGAAAGAAAAGCAGCAGGUUAAUACCCCGCUGUUCUGACGGUACCCAAAGAAUAAGCACCGGCUAACUUCGUG